rnacentral:lncRNA from 1 species
CCCCCUUGAACCUAAUAAAUGAGUGUCUUCAUCAGUACAAAAAUGACUCUGUUUUGGAAGAAAUGAAGAAUGCGUACAUGCUCCAACAGAAUGAACAGGGAUCACUUAGAGUUUGAGUAUGCCUUUCAUGAUUCUUCGAGUUAAGUCGUCUCCACAUCGUCUGCAGUUCAGAAGGCCUUCACUUUCUUAUCAGAAUUUGGGUGUGAUUUGUGAACAAACAGUAUGUAUUUGGGUUGUUUGUGGUGGAACUGAUGCAAGAAUGGAAGUCGAGAAGGAAACAAACUACAAACUAAGUUAAAGUAAGAACUAGGCUAAGUUAAGCUAAGGAUAAUUUCAUUCAUAUCCCCAAAUGAG